rnacentral:rRNA from 1 species
UACACUCCUGCGGGAGGCAGCAGUGGGGAAUAUUGCACAAUGGGCGCAAGCCUGAUGCAGCCAUGCCGCGUGUAUGAAGAAGGCCUUCGGGUUGUAAAGUACUUUCAGCGGGGAGGAAGGCAAUACGGUUAAUAACCGUGUUGAUUGACGUUACCCGCAGAAGAAGCACCGGCUAACUCCGUGCCAGCAGCCGCGGUAAUACGGAGGGUGCAAGCGUUAAUCGGAAUUACUGGGCGUAAAGCGCACGCAGGCGGUCUGUCAAGUCGGAUGUGAAAUCCCCGGGCUCAACCUGGGAACUGCAUUCGAAACUGGCAGGCUUGAGUCUUGUAGAGGGGGGUAGAAUUCCAGGUGUAGCGGUGAAAUGCGUAGAGAUCUGGAGGAAUACCGGUGGCGAAGGCGGCCCCCUGGACAAAGACUGACGCUCAGGUGCGAAAGCGUGGGGAGCAAACAGGAUUAGAAACCCUUGUAGUCCCAU